GAUGAACGCUAGCGAUAGGCCUAACACAUGCAAGUCGAGGGGCAUCACAUGAGGCAGCAAUGCCGAUGGUGGCGACCGGCGCACGGGUGAGUAACACGUAUGCAACCUGCCUUCAACAAGGGGAUAACCCGUUGAAAAACGGACUAAUACCCUAUAAUACAGGGGUCCCGCAUGGGGAUAUUUGUUAAAGAUUGAUCGGUUGAAGAUGGGCAUGCGUUCCAUUAGCUGGUUGGUGAGGUAACGGCUCACCAAGGCAACGAUGGAUAGGGGAACUGAGAGGUUUAUCCCCCACACUGGUACUGAGACACGGACCAGACUCCUACGGGAGGCAGCAGUGAGGAAUAUUGGUCAAUGGACGCAAGUCUGAACCAGCCACGUCGCGUGAAGGAAGACGGCCCUACGGGUUGUAAACUUCUUUUGUAAGGGAAUAAAGUGUAGUACGCGUACUAUUUUGCAUGUACCUUACGAAUAAGGAUCGGCUAACUCCGUGCCAGCAGCC
rnacentral:rRNA from 1 species